UGUAGGCCAAAGCGUUUAGGCUAGUUCAAAAUACCUUCCCGGUAAUAAAAAUUGCUACAGUGGAUGGGUUCCUGGGCAAGUCUUUCUGGCCAAAUGAUGAGUAUUGUUUUAUGACAUGAUGGACCUGGAAUAUAUAAGUAUUCAGAAUGACCCAGCAUUUCCCCCACCCUUAUCCCCCACCACCAGCCUCUUAUCUUUUACGUCCAGUGGAUGACUGGGGGUUUUUAUUUUCUUUUCAAACUCAAUUUACUCAAGAUACCUCACCUUUUUUUUUUUUUAAGUUUUUAUUUAAGUAAUCUCUAUACCCGAUGUGGGGCUCAAACUCACAACCCCAAGAUCAAGAGUUGCAUGAUCUUCCGACUGAGCCAGCCAGGAGCCCCCGGACACUUCGUCUUAAUACUUCACCGUUUUGCUUUACCUUUGCCAACCAUCUUGAAUGAGAGUAUAGGAUAUUCUUUGGCAGCCAUUACUGAGGUCAAGCUCACUGAUUAGGAUAAGCUUCAGGAACUGAAAUAAUCUCUUCUAGGCUUCACUGAAGAAGGAGAGAUAUGUGCAUAAUUUCUACAGCAUCAAAACAAGGUUUCAUUGAGACAUACUGAUGCACUGCUGGAUGGUACAGUCCAUAGAUUUUCCAGGAAACUUCUAAAUGAAAACAAGCGUGAAGUUUUCAGAAGUUGCUGAUGUCAGUUACCAAGCUGCCUUAAACAAAACAAGAGAAAAAAGAUAAUACCACAUUUCCACUUGUGAGAUUCCAGCAUGUGCUCCUGAGGUCCCAAACAAAUCUCUGACCAGGCUGCUGUGAAUGAAGCUUUACUCCCACAGUAUUAUGAAAGCAAACACAAGCCCAGGGUCAAGUGCUUCUUUUGUUCCAGAAUUUCUUUCCCACGAGUUCAAUCCUGCCAUUAGCAUUGAUUUCCACAGCUUUAAUCUGGGACCUCCUAUCUCAGCUUGUUAAAGAACUGUUCAACUAUGACUUUCCUAUAAUCUUAGAGGUAAAAAUGAAAAGAGAGAGGUGGAAAGGGGAUAAAAACGAAGUCAACUACUUACCUUUACCCCCAGUUGCCUGAAGCAUCUUCAAAUGAUCUACUGUCAUUUGUAAUAUUUCGGCUUUCUCUAACUUUGCAGAUCCCUGCAAAAACAAAUAAUAACGUCUUAGAAGUUCUAUGGAAACUGAUUUGGAACAUUUUACACUGGAUUUCAAUUUUCCUCCUCACUAGAAAAUUCUAAGUUUAAUUUUUUUCCACAGAAACAUCUGAGUUCUUUGCAAACUUUACAUGUAAACAAUGAUUGUGUUACACCUAAUGACAGAUAUUUGCCAAUUUAUCUUUUAAAGACUAAAAGGCAUAACAAAUAAUUUUUUAAUCAGGAGAAUAAUUAUAUUCCUAAAAUCACUCCACUAAAACAAUUAUAAGUGCAAAAAUCUCAAACCUCGCAUCCAAUCUCUACCCCAUAUUUCAUUAUGGGACAUCCGAGAGUCUUAUAUGGUGCUGUAUUUCUACGUCAGUUGAAUCCCACUCUGACGGAUACGGAGACAGGAUCUUAGCAAAUUAAGUUUUUCAAAAAUAAAAAGUUCUAAUCUUUAAGGCACACCCCUGGUAAGCAGAAACAAAAAUAAAAAAGGGAAGACUUUGAAGGUUUUUUUUUGUUUUUUUCCAAAAAUUACCAGCAGGUGUCACUGUGAAUUCCAAGAUCAUAAACAAGGAAACAUAAUUUACUACCUAACUAGGAAGCAUCAGAAAUGCUUGAAGGUAUUUGAACCCUUUAAAACAGUUCUUAAUAAAAUAUCUUGGAAAUAUAUUUAUAUGUCCUACUUUUAAAAUAAGGCGACCUCUGGAAACCAACCGAAAUACAAAUGUGCCACCUUGAACUGCCUCAGAGGACUGUGGGUGGCUUCUAGUUUCCUGGAAAAGCUAAAUAAUUAAAUCAGUAUGUCGUUUUGAAGAGGGAACUGAAGUUUUUUUCAGGUUCCUAUGCUCUACUUGUUUUGUGAAAAUUAUCAGCACCCUGUACAUGGUGAGAGUGCCAGAGUUAUUUAAACUGCUAGAAAGAACACUCUUCUAAUCAUACUGUGACAGGGCCAGCUCACCAGGGUUGGUAGCCAAGCUUGGCAAAUGGGAAAGCCUGUGUUUAUGGUAACUAACUGCCAAACAACUGAGGUUUGCUUUUAAGGUUUGUUUUAAGUCAACAUUUAAGGAAAAAAAACCUAACAAACUAAGGGGGGAAAAAUCACCAAACUGGCUGUUUUUCAUAACUGCAGACAUUUCAGUAGUCAAAGUGAAAACGCGGAUUACUGAUAUUUUCAUUUUCAGCCUAUUGUCAUUAAAAAUGUUACUAAUCAAAACAACAAUUUCCACAUUACAUUUAGUUUACCAAAGACAGUUUCAGCAUAUAGGUACCUUUUUUCUCUCAAAAAUAUACAAUCAAGAGCAUAUUACAGCUUGUACUUCUGUCAAUUUUCAAUAUUUCCAUGAAGAUGUACAGUAGUUUCAGUGAAAGUGACAAAUCACAAAAUUGCAGUUACUGGAUAAUUUCCAAGGGCUUUGUAGGGCUUGCUGUAUGUUUGUGGUUCAUGAAAUAAACAACAAAAUGAAAUAAACAAACAACUGCUGCCUUAUACCCUGUUUGAAUUAAAUCGAAAGUAUUUUCAAUAACGUACGAUGCUAUAUUGUUUGAAAGAUGCUCUUAGAAAUCUGUGCCAUUAGCCAUU